UAGGAAAGAAAAAGAAAAGAGAAGGAAAUGAUUGUCAGGGAGGAAUCCUGGGAAAUAUUUCAAGUAGACUUUUUGUUCUUCUAAAUAUAAAGCAGUACCUUAUUGCCUUAAUUUCAGAACAGUCCAGUUGUACAUAUAACCUAAAUAUCAGAUUACAACAGGCCAUCAUUUUAAGAAACUCUUAGACCUCUGGUUUAGAUCCUUCUUCCUUUAAAUUGAGCUGAAAUAUUAUCAGAGAAAUGUGAAGCGCUCAGCUAACUGCUUAUCAGUGAAAAGCAGCAUGGAAUUUUGACAAAGCACAGUGAUCCUCAUGAAUAUGUUUUGACAAAGAUUGAUCUCAAUCAUUGGUUACUCCUUCUGAGAUCUGGAUAUUUAAUUUCUAGUAGUUAUUUCCAGAAAUCAAUAGUUGGCUUGCUUUUUAAUAAGUGAGUUUUUAAAUAGGAAUCUCCCUAGAACUAAAUUAAAUUUCAUGUGUUGAUGUAUUUUAUGAUCAGUUUGGAAGUGGGACAACCAUCUUAGAAUGUAUCAGCCUUGAAAGAACAGCCGAAAAAAGUAUUUCAGCAUUUGGAUCUUUGAACAUAAGACCACCUUUUCUCUGGCUCUCUGGCUUUCUUUCUACUCCUUGUCUUCUGUCUUGUUUUUCUGUCUAUGCUACAAUUUUCUCAUCUAAAAAGAUGGGGUUGAUAACACUUCCUCAUGUGGUGGUUGUGAUGAUUGAAUGAGUAAAUCUGUGCACAAUGCCUAGUAUAUUGCUAACACAUAAUAAGUGUUCAAACAAUGUCAUUGCCAUUGUUCUUUUUAUCUAGCACAAACCAGGCUUGUUACCUAUAAUGUUGUGUCAACCGUAUUAUACUAUAUCAGAUGUAUGAGUUGUGAUGCUGUCACAGGAUUGCCUGAGAUAGCUAUGGUUAUUUUUUUCCCAAUGUGUGCCAAAUAAUGUUGCUCAUUUAGCACAACUGAUACACUGAGGCAAGCAUAUUUGAGAUGCCCUUGUGAUUUAAAGUGUUCUUAAGUUGUUGGUUGUCCACCAUACUUAAGGAGAAAAAAGUCAAGCUAUUUGGCCU
rnacentral:lncRNA from 1 species